GACGAACGCUGGCGGCGUGCCUAAUACAUGCAAGUCGAACGAAGCUGUUUUAACUGGUGCUUGCACCGACUUAAACAACUGAGUGGCGAACGGGUGAGUAACACGUGGGUAACGUGCCCCAAAGCGGGGGAUAACAUUUGGAAACAGAUGCUCAUACCGCAUAAUCACCGAAACCACAUGGUUUCUGUGUCAAAGCUGUUUUCGGCUAUCACUUUGGGAUGGACCCGGGGCGUAUUAGCUAGUUGGUAAGGUAAUGGCUUACCAAGGCAAUGAUACGUAGCCGAACUGAGAGGUUGACCGGCCACAUUGGGACUGAGACACGGCCCAAACUCCUACGGGAGGCAGCAGUAGGGAAUCUUCCACAAUGGACGAAAGUCUGAUGGAGCAACGCCGCGUGAGUGAAGAAGGUUUUCGGAUCGUAAAACUCUGUUGUCAGAGAAGAACGUGUGCGAGAGUAACUGUUCGUGCAGUGACGGUAUCUGGCCAGAAAGCCACGGCUAACUUCGUGCCAGCCGCCGCCGUAA
rnacentral:rRNA from 1 species